CUAGGAUUCCCAAAGUAACGGCGAGUGAACUGGGAAAAGCCCAGCGCUGAAUCUUUCGAUGUUGUAUCGCAAAGAAAUGUAGCGUAUAGGUAUGAUUGUCGGUUUGUUUAACAUGUCCAAAGUUCCUUUGAUAGGGGCCACAUUCCAGAGAGGGUGCGAGACCUGUGCGGACAGUUGAACAUACCGUGUGAUCAUACCUUGGAGUCGGGUUGCUUGAAAGUGCAGCCUUAAGUGGGUGAUAAACUUCAUCUAAGGCUAAAUAUGGACGCGAAUUCGAUAGCAAACAAGUACUGUGAAGGAAAGUUGCAAAGAACUUUGAAGAGAGAGUUCAAGAGAACGUGAAAUCGUUGAAGUGGAACCGGAGAGAGUUGACGUAGUCUGAUGGAUAAGUAAUUGCAAGAAUCGCAUUCGCAUGUGAAUGUGGUCGAGUAUUAUGUAUGCCAUCAAUGACUGUGCUGACAGCAUCGACUACACGCUCUGAACUGUGUUGACGUGUUGCCCAUCCUAUUCUGUAGAAUGGUGUCUUAUGUUACGUGGURAAGUUUGUUGUAUGUUGAUGUUGAUGUAUGAGUACGAUUAUUUUUAAAUAAUUAUGUCAGCGUAAAAGUCAACCACCUCUCCGACCCGUCUUGAAACACGGACCGAGGAGUGUAACUUGUACGCGAGUCAAUAGGUGGAAAACCUAAAGGCGAAAUGAAAGUGAAGGCACGGUUAACCGGCUGACAUGGGAAACGUACGUUAGCUUCCUAGCGAAACGUCACACCAUGGCCCUGUCUUGUCUGCAUGCAGAUGGGCAGCGGUAGAGCGUACAGGUUGCGACCCGAAAGAUGGUGAACUAUGCCUGAGCAGGACGAAGUCAGAGGAAACUCUGGUGGAAGUCCGUAUCGGUUCUGACGUGCAAAUCGAUCGAUAGACUUGGGUAUAGGGGCGAAAGACUAAUCGAAC
rnacentral:rRNA from 1 species